AGUGAACGCUGGCGGUAGGCCUAACACAUGCAAGUCGAACGGCAGCACAGUAAGAGCUUGCUCUUACGGGUGGCGAGUGGCGGACGGGUGAGGAAUACAUCGGAAUCUACUUUUUCGUGGGGGAUAACGUAGGGAAACUUACGCUAAUACCGCAUACGACCUACGGGUGAAAGCAGGGGAUCUUCGGACCUUGCGCGAUUGAAUGAGCCGAUGUCGGAUUAGCUAGUUGGCGGGGUAAAGGCCCACCAAGGCGACGAUCCGUAGCUGGUCUGAGAGGAUGAUCAGCCACACUGGAACUGAGACACGGUCCAGACUCCUACGGGAGGCAGCAGUGGGGAAUAUUGGACAAUGGGCGAAAGCCUGAUACAGCCAUACCGCGUGGGUGAAGAAGGACUUCGGGUUGUAAAGCCCUUUUGUUGGGAAAGAAAAGCAGCAGGUUAAUACCCCGCUGUUCUGACGGUACCCAAAGAAUAAGCACCGGCUAACUUCGUG
rnacentral:rRNA from 1 species